AUCCUUCCCUCUUCUCUGUGUCGGCAGGCUUGGGCUAAGUUCUGAACAUGAGUUGUGGUGCAGUCGGCGAGCGAAGAUGUGAGUUGGGUUUUUGGUGGAAUUGAGAUUGGUUUAUGGAAAUGAUUUGAGAUUUUGAUUACUGGGUUUGUUAUGGUUUUUGCAGCUUAAUCUUGGUGUGGAUGAGAGCUAUACUCUGUUUGUAUUGAAGAAAGAUGGGAAAGCUAUUGUUGGGGAGGCCACGAUUGAGGCAAACACGGUGUAUGGUGCGUUGCGGGGGUUAGAGACUUUCAGCCAAUUGUGUACUUUUGACUAUGAUUC